AGGACGAACGCUGGCGGCGUGCUUAACACAUGCAAGUCGAGCGGAAAGGCCCUUCGGGGUACUCGAGCGGCGAACGGGUGAGUAACACGUGAGUAAUCUGCCCUUAGCUCUGGGAUAGCUCCGGGAAACCGGGAUUAAUACCAGAUACAACCACUUUAGACAUCUGUUGUGGUGGAAAGAAUUUUGGCUAAGGAUGAGCUCGCGGCCUAUCAGCUUGUUGGUGGGGUAAUGGCCUACCAAGGCGACGACGGGUAGCCGGCCUGAGAGGGCGACCGGCCACACUGGGACUGAGACACGGCCCAGACUCCUACGGGAGGCAGCAGUGGGGAAUAUUGCGCAAUGGGCGAAAGCCUGACGCAGCGACGCCGCGUGGGGGAUGAAGGCCUUCGGUUGUAACCCUUUCAGCAGGACGAAGCGAAAGUGACGGUACCUGCAGAAGAAGCGCCGGCUAACUACGCGCCAGCAGCCGC
rnacentral:rRNA from 1 species